rnacentral:rRNA from 1 species
UAUGCUGAGAUCUGAUAGCAAGCUGUACUUGUACAGCGAAGUGGCUGAUACCAUGCUUCCAGGAAAAGUCUCUAAGCUUCAGUUACACAGGAAUCGUACCCUAAACCGACACAGGUGGUCAGGUCGAGUAGACCAAGGCGCUUGAGAGAACUCUGCUGAAGGAACUAGGCAAAAUGGUACCGUAACUUCGGGAGAAGGUACGCUGUUGUUGGUGAUGGAACUUGCUUCCUGAGCUGAUGACAGCCACAGAAACCAGGCCGCUGCAACUGUUUAUUAAAAACAUAGCACUCUGCAAACACGAAAGUGGACGUAUAGGGUGUGAUGCCUGCCCGGUGCUGGAAGGUUAAUUGAUGGGGUUAGCGUAAGCGAAGCUCUUGAUCGAAGCCCCAGUAAACGGCGGCCGUAACUAUAACGGUCCUAAGGUAGCGAAAUUCCUUGUCGGGUAAGUUCCGACCUGCACGAAUGGCAUAAUGAUGGCGGCGCUGUCUCCAGCAGAGGCUCAGUGAAAUCGAAAUCGCUGUGAAGAUGCAGUGUACCCGCGGCUAGACGGAAAGACCCCGUGAACCUUUACUGCAGCUUGACAUUGAACUUUGACCUUACUUGUGUAGGAUAGGUGGGAGGCUUUGAAGUUGGAACGCUAGUUCCAAUGGAGCCGUCCUUGAAAUACCACCCUGGUAAUGUUGAGGUUCUAACUCUGCCCCGUAAUCCGGGGCGAGGACCAUGUCUGGUGGGUAGUUUGACUGGGGCGGUCUCCUCCUAAAGAGUAACGGAGGAGUACGAAGGUGCGCUCAGCGUGGUCGGAAAUCACGCGUAGAGUAUAAAGGCAAAAGCGCGCUUAACUGCGAGACCCACAAGUCGAGCAGGUACGAAAGUAGGUCUUAGUGAUCCGGUGGUUCUGUAUGGAAGGGCCAUCGCUCAACGGAUAAAAGGUACUCUGGGGAUAACAGGCUGAUACCGCCCAAGAGUUCAUAUCGACGGCGGUGUUUGGCACCUCGAUGUCGGCUCAUCUCAUCCUGGGGCUGAAGCAGGUCCCAAGGGUAUGGCUGUUCGCCAUUUAAAGAGGUACGCGAGCUGGGUUUAGAACGUCGUGAGACAGUUCGGUCCCUAUCUACCGUGGGCGCUGGAAAUUUGAGAGGAUCUGCUCCUAGUACGAGAGGACCAGAGUGGACGAACCUCUGGUGUACCGGUUGUGACGCCAGUCGCAUCGCCGGGUAGCUAUGUUCGGAAGGGAUAACCGCUGAAAGCAUCUAAGCGGGAAGCCUACCUCAAGAUAAGAUUUCCCUAGGACUUUAUGUCCUCUAAAGAGCCGUUCGAGACUAGGACGUUGAUAGGUUGGAUGUGGAAGCAUAGUGAUAUGUGAAGCUGACCAAUACUAAUUGCUCGUGAGGCUUGACUA